GACAGAGGGUGCAAACGUUGUUCGGAAUUACUGGGCGUAAAGCGUGUGUAGGCGGCCGCGCAAGUCGGAUGUGAAAGCCCCGGGCUCAACCCGGGAAGUGCACCCGAUACUGCAUGGCUCGAGUACUGGAGAGGUUGGUGGAAUUCUCGGUGUAGAGGUGAAAUUCGUAGAUAUCGAGAGGAACACCGGUGGCGAAGGCGGCCAACUGGACAGAUACUGACGCUGAGACACGAAAGCGUGGGGAGCGAACAGG
rnacentral:rRNA from 1 species